rnacentral:rRNA from 1 species
UACGAUGGAGGGCUAGCGUUGUUCGGAAUUACUGGGCGUAAAGGGCGCGUAGGCGGCGUGUCAAGUCAGGCGUGAAAGCCCCGGGCUCAACCUGGGAACCGCGCUUGAGACUGGCAUGCUCGAGUUCGGGAGAGGAUGGUGGAAUUCCCAGUGUAGAGGUGAAAUUCGUAGAUAUUGGGAAGAACACCGAUGGCGAAGGCAGCCAUCUGGACCGACACUGACGCUGAGGCGCGGAAAGCGUGGGGAGCAAACAGG